rnacentral:rRNA from 1 species
UACGGAGGGUGCAAGCGUUGCUCGGAAUUAUUGGGCGUAAAGGGUAGGUAGGUGGUCUUAUUUGUCUGGGGUGAAAGCCUUGAGCUUAACUCAAGAAGUGCCCCAGAAACGGUAAGACUAGAGUCCUGGAGAGGGUCGUGGAAUUCCCGGUGUAGUGGUGGAAUGCGUAGAUAUCGGGAGGAACACCAGUGGCGAAGGCGGUUGCCUGGGGGCUUUGCUGACGCUGAUGCGCGAAAGCGUGGGGAGCGAUCCGG